CAGUCGCCACGGUAAUACAGAGGGUGCGAGCGUUAAUCGGAUUUACUGGGCGUAAAGCGUGCGUAGGCGGCUUUUUAAGUCGGAUGUGAAAUCCCUGAGCUUAACUUAGGAAUUGCAUUCGAUACCGGGAAGCUAGAGUAUGGGAGAGGAUGGUAGAAUUCCAGGUAUAGCGGUGAAAUGCGUAGAGAUCUGGAGGAGUACCGAUGGCGAAGGCAGCCAUCUGGCCUAAUACUGACGCUGAGGUACGAAAGCAUGGGGAGCAAACAGGAUUAGAUACCCGGGUAGUCCCUGUCUCUUAUAC
rnacentral:rRNA from 1 species